rnacentral:rRNA from 1 species
UACGAAGGGGGCUAGCGUUGCUCGGAAUGACUGGGCGUAAAGGGCGCGUAGGCGGCUCAUACAGUCAGAUGUGAAAUUCCUGGGCUUAACCUGGGGGCUGCAUUUGAUACGUGUGGGCUUGAGUGGGGAAGAGGGUCGUGGAAUUCCCAGUGUAGAGGUGAGAUUCGUAGAUAUUGGGAAGAACACCGGUGGCGAAGGCGGCGACCUGGUCCUUGACUGACGCUGAGGCGCGAAAGCGUGGGGAGCAAACAGG